AGUGAACGCUGGCGGUAGGCCUAACACAUGCAGGUCGAACGGCAGCACAGUAAGAGCUUGCUCUUACGGGUGGCGAGUGGCGGACGGGUGAGGAAUACAUCGGAAUCUACUUUUUCGUGGGGGAUAACGUAGGGAAACUUACGCUAAUACCGCAUACGACCUACGGGUGAAAGCAGGGGAUCUUCGGACCUUGCGCGAUUGAAUGAGCCGAUGUCGGAUUAGCUAGUUGGCGGGGUAAAGGCCCACCAAGGCGACGAUCCGUAGCUGGUCUGAGAGGAUGAUCAGCCACACUGGAACUGAGACACGGUCCAGACUCCUAUGGGAGGCAGCAGUGGGGAAUAUUGGACAAUGGGCGCAAGCCUGAUCCAGCCAUACCGCGUGGGUGAAGAAGGCCUUCGGGUUGUAAAGCCCUUUUGUUGGGAAAGAAAAGCAGCAGGUUAAUACCCCGCUGUUCUGACGGUACCCAAAGAAUAAGCACCGGCUAACUUCGUG
rnacentral:rRNA from 1 species